rnacentral:rRNA from 1 species
ACGUAGGGGGCAAGCGUUAUCCGGAAUUAUUGGCGGUAAGGGGUGAUAAGGGGGUUUUUAAAGCGGGGGGGAAAGGCAAUAGCUUAACUAUUUUAAGCCUUGCGAACUGGAAGACUUGAGUGCAGGAGAGGAAAGUGGAAUUCCUAGUGUAGCGGUGAAAUGCGUAGAUAUUAGGAGGAACACCAGUGGCGAAGGCGACUUUCUGGACUGUAACUGACACUGAGGCACGAAAGUGUGGGGAGCAAACAG